CAAUAGCGUAUAUUAAAGUUGUUGCAGUUAGAACGCUCGUAGUCGGAUUUCGGGGCAGUCCGACCGGUCUGCCGAUGGGUGUGCACUGGCCGGAGUGUCCUUUUUGCCGGAGACCGUGCCUACUCUUAACUGAGCGGGGGCGGGAGACGGCACUUUUACUUUGAAAAAAUCAGAGUGUUUCAAGCAGGCAGCUCGCUCUUGCAUGGAUUAGCAUGGGAUAAUGAAAUAGGACUUUGGUGCUAUUUUGUUGGUUUCGAACACCGAAGUAAUGAUGAGAAGGGACAGUCAGGGGCACUCGUAUUCCGCAGAGAGAGGUGAAAUUCUCAGACCCGCGGAAGACGAACCACUGCGAAAGCAUUUGCCAGGGAUGUUUUCACUGA
rnacentral:rRNA from 1 species